CUAGCAUGGGUGCUAGGCCACACGUCAGCUCACUAGUACAUUAUUUAGAUUUAUUUUAAGUCAUAAAAUUCAUUUUCGACAAUUAGUAGCGAUGAUCUUAGAAAAAAGGGAUUGUGAACAUUGAAGAAAAGGUGGCACAGAGUAAGCUGGCUAAAUAGU
rnacentral:ncRNA from 1 species